UUCUCUCUCCAGUCUUCAAGCUUCCUUCUCUUCCAACAUCUCUGCAACUUCCUUAUCUCCUCAACAUGUUUUCUCUAUUACAUCUUCAUUUUCGCGUUCAUCAUCAUUAAUAAAUAAAUAAACAACAAAAUCUAAAGGAAAAAAAAAAGUCUAUUUCAAUUUUAUGACUAAUUUUUUGCGUCAUACUAAGCAACCCGAGGGACAAGACGAGAACGAGAUGCAGAAGAGAUUGCAGACUCGGUUCCAUCUUCACUACAUUUUUCCUCUUCUUCGAGAUGUAGACUCGG
rnacentral:lncRNA from 1 species